UGUAGCCAUUUUAAAUCUAUUUAAAUCUAAAAAUAUUUUAAAAUAUUUUAUCAAAGAAUACGAACAUCAAAAUUAAAUUGGAAAAAAUACAAAGAUAAUAAUAAUAAAAAUCUAAAAUUUCAGAUUGUAUGCACUUUAACAAAAAAGUUAACAGUUCAAAUAGAAAUGAAAUAGGUAAAUAAAAAUAUGUAAAUGGUGAGAGCAAGUAUGGGGAAGGCGCACAGAGGGACUAAAAGAUACUGUUUUAUUAUUGAAAAUGAUAGAGAAUUAUAAACUAAAAUACAUUGGAAAAAAUGAAAUGAGAAUGUAAAAAUUUAGAAACAGGACAAAUCAUUAAAGUAAAAAUAAGCAGCUCACAUCGCAGGAGAUUUUAAUAGACUGAAAAUGGCAAGGACACAUGGUUUUGAAAACUCUAAAUGUCAAAAAUAGAGCGAAAUCAGCGAGUAAAAGCAAAACAAAACUAAGUGAGUUAAUAAACAACUAUAUAAAAAGUCGUCUCUCUGGUUAAGGUAAAAUCAAAAUCCCGCUCUGUCCUGUGACAGUAACUCCUACAACAGAAACGAAAAGGGAGACUAUGGGAACGCCUCAUCAAACACACAUCGAGGAAGGUAUCAAAAUGAAGGAGGAGGAGGAAAUAAAAAGACGGGGAAGGACAAGAAUGCUGUGGUUAUAACAAUGAAAGAAAGACUUUAAGGACUGAUGGCAAAAGCACUGAAUGGGAUUCCGAGGAUCAAUUUUGUCAGAAGCAAACCCUCACCAUUUUAUACCACACAGUUUUGAAACUUUAAAAUUCGCCGGCAGAACUGGAAGCUAAAAACCAUGGGUUGCCAAACAGCACUGCAUUGGUAAUCUAAAACUAAGUUUAAUCAUCUCUCACUGUGUAGAAACAUCCGCAUCAUCCCAGAAUUAUUUUGUUGUUCCUCGUGUGGUGUCAUCUUGAAUAGCACUGUGCUUUUUAACACGCUCACACAACAGAGUUUCACCUGUUCCAGCAAAGCCCAAGUCAUCUCCUCCUCACAGCAAAUUGUACCCACAGUCUAGCAUCCUGUCCAAUCUGCUCAGCUCAGGUUCCUAGUAUAAAAACUAAUAACAUACAUUGAAUGCCCACCAUGUGCCAAGCACUGUUUGAAGAAUUUUGCAGAGUUCCUUUUGCGGCUCAGCAGGUUAAGAAUCUGAGGUGUCUGUGGGGAUGCAGGUUCGACCCCUGGCUUUGCUCAUAGGUUAAGGAUCUGGUGUUGCUGCAAUCGAUGGCAGCACAGAUCACAGAUGCAUGCGGCUUGGAUCUGGUGUUGCCAUGGCUGUGGCAUAGGCCACCAGCUACAGCUCUGAUUCAACCCCUAGCCCGGGAACAUCCAUAUGCUGCAAGUAUAGUCAUAAAAAGAAAAAAAAAAUAUUGAUGACAGAAGCUUAUAUUUGUGGAACUUCUACGAGUUCCAAAACACAUAUUCAAUCAAUAGCUAUUGACAUGAAGGUUCUUUUUUAUUUAGAAAAAGGCAUGAAUACACUCAACUUAUAGGUGAAUUUAAAUUAUUUAUUCAAAAAUCACUUAAUGAACACCUAUUCACCCACUAUUUUGCCAAAUGCUGAACUUAGCGGAUGAAAGAAAAAAGUUAUAAAAUGUGGUGUUUCCUGAAAGAUUGGAAGGGAAAGGAAGAUAUAAACAAAAUACAAGUUAGAAAGUGGCAAAUGCCAUACAAGAAAUUAGUCUCUUGGAGGCUGAGGAUCAGUUUGACCAGAGAUUUAUCAGGGAAAGCUUCGAGAAAGAGGUUGAUCUUGAGCUAGAACUUAUACAUGGCUAGGGUUUAGAGGUGCAGAAAUGGGGGGAGUGGAGGAUGGAGGCACACAGAAAAAGUUAACUUCUAUGGCUUUACUUACAUUUUGGAACAUUAAAGAUAAAUAAAUUGGUCCAUGAAAAAUCUGAUUAUCAUCAGCCUUCCCAUUACAUGGAAUAAACGCAUUUUGCAAAGCCGUCGCAAAAUUCUCCCAUCUCUUGUCCUGGUAAGCUGACCACCAUGUUUGUAUAGGUUUAAGUUAGAAAAGAGAUGAUCCAGAUACCAGAUGAAAGGAAAUAAAUAAACAGGUAAAGUGAAGUGAAAUCUAAGAUCCAAAGAGAGAAAACAGAAUUUUUUGUGGUUAACAUUCAGAGUAGAUACUGUCUUAAUAUAAUAUUUCUGCUCGGUAACUCGUUCAACAUGAUAGCGAGUUUCUCCGGUCUUCAAAAAGUCCAGAACUGAUGUGGUACUAUUUAUUCUUACGGUUUUCCUGAUGGUCUAGUGUAAUAGAUUGUUUUCUAGACAUUGCUUGGCAGUCUUUGCUUUACUUCUCAAAUCAAAAAUGUAAAUAAUGGUCACAUUUCCCUAAGGUUAUUAUUUGGUACAUUUCAAAAGAGUUUUCUAUUGAAAAGUCCAGUAUUUAAAUGCAAUGCCACCUAUACUGUCUUCUUCAAAGGAGCUGGCAUCAUUGCCUCCGAGGCUGUCAGUGACCCAGCUGGACAGAGACGGGGCACAAGUCACUAUCCCGGUUUUAUAGGCACCUUCAAGCUUAUCGACUUCCUUCAGAUCAGGCAAUUUGUCACAAGUCCAAUCUUAGAAUUCAGUCUUCUAACUUAAAGUCCAGUGGGUUUUCUAUCAGACUCCGCUGACUGGUAUGAACCUUUAUAUAUAGAAAAAUCAUAAGGAACAAUUUCUCAGAGCAUUGAACGAUUUAUCCCGGACUAUUGUCCUAUCUAAGCCCUGGGGCCCCACUUCCCUCCCUCGCUGCCUUUCCUCCUCUCCUCGGGGCUUAAGAUUUCCCCUUUGAAACUUAAAUUCACUGUACUCUACUCUGGAAAGGAAACUUUGCUUCUUCAUACUCUCUUUUUCUGUGUAUUAAGAGAACUAAUACCUUUCUGAAAAGAGCUGUGCUUCCAUCAAAGGCAGGCUGAACCCCUUUCUUCGACAGUGCAUCUCACUAUCACACCAUUAAUAGUUUCUGUCUCUGAGAGAGCACAGACACUAUCAUCCUAAAUUCUCUAUAUUUUAGAGAAAUGGAAACAAACCCUCAAAUUUCAAAGCCCGUUGUUUUUCAGAAAGAUAUGGCCCCAGGCUUACUGGACAUCACAGUAUUCACCUGGAAUGCUGCAAUUAUAAUAGCACACAUUCCUGACUUCAAUGUAAGAGGUGAACUUGACCGAUCCAUGCCUGAAAAAUUUAAAAAUCCUUAGUAAGACAGGAUCCUAGAAUGAGGAACCAUUCUAUUACUAUUUUAUUCUUUCGCUGUAUUUAUGAUGAAUACUAUUGGUAAUUUAUGACAUAUAAACAUAUAUUAUUUUCCUAUUUAUUUAUUUUGACCCAAAAGUGAUUCAGUUUUAAUAGGUUAUUUUGUAUGAUUUCUAUUAGCAUUAUAGAAGAUAUAUUAGGUCUUUUGCUGUCUUAUAUGGUCUCUUUCAUUAUUGUUUGGUUUGCUUUUCCAGGGUUUCUUGCUCUUUUGUUUGUUCUUACUCUUUUGGACUUGGAUAUAUUUUCCUUGUUAAAUAAAUCAGCAAUGGGAAUUCCCACUGUGGCUCAGCAGGUUAAGAACCUAACAUAAUAUCCAUGAGGAUUUGAGUUUGAUCCCCGGUCUUGCUCAAUGGGCUAAGGAUCUGGCUGCAAGCUGCAGAGUAGGUCAUGGAUGCAGCUUGGAUCUGGUGUUGCCGUGGCUGUGGCAUAGGCCUGCAGCUGCAGCUCUGAUUCUUUCCCUAGACUGGAAACUUCCAUAUGCUGCAGGUGUGGCAAAAAAAAAAAAAAAUCAACAAUAUUUUGAGUUUGUUUUUAAUUUUAAUGGAAUGCCAUUUAGAAUUUUAGAUUAUAAUCUACUUCUCUGUGUCUUACGGGACAAUAGUUACUGACUGUCCUAUAAUAAAUACGACGA
rnacentral:lncRNA from 1 species